CCUACGGGUGGCUGCAGUGGGGAAUUUUGGACAAUGGGCGCAAGCCUGAUCCAGCAAUGCCGCGUGAGUGAAGAAGGCCUUCGGGUUGUAAAGCUCUUUCAGUUGAGAAGAAAAAAUUGUGACUAAUAAUCACAAUUGAUGACGGUAUCAACAGAAGAAGCACCGGCUAACUACGUGCCAGCAGCCGCGGUAAUACGUAGGGUGCGAGCGUUAAUCGGAAUUACUGGGCGUAAAGGGUGCGCAGGCGGUUUUGUAAGUCAGAUGUGAAAUCCCCGGGCUUAACCUGGGAAUUGCGUUUGAAACUACAAAACUAGAGUGUAGCAGAGGGAGGUGGAAUUCCAUGUGUAGCAGUGAAAUGCGUAGAGAUAUGGAAGAACAUCGAUGGCGAAGGCAGCCUCCUGGGUUAACACUGACGCUCAUGCACGAAAGCGUGGGGAGCAAACAGGAUUAGAUACCCGGGUAGUC
rnacentral:rRNA from 1 species